UAAGCGGGAUGUGAGAUCCAAGGGCUCAACCCUUGAACUGCAUUUUCGAACUGGCAGACUUGAGAAUGGGAGAGGAAGCUGGAAUUCCUAGUGUAGGAGUGAAAUCCGUAGAUAUUAGGAGGAACACCAAUGGCGAAGGCAGGCUUCUGGCCCAUUUCUGACGCUGAGGCACGAAAGCGUGGGAGCGAACGGGAUUAGAUACCCCGGUAGUCCACGCCGUAAACGAUGGAUACUA
rnacentral:rRNA from 1 species